rnacentral:lncRNA from 1 species
CUUUCCCUGGCUCACGCACUCAGCACAAGUGCUUCACACCAUCCACGGGCCUGGCUCCUCUUCUCGGGCCUAAGUGGGAAAAACAGAACACGGGCUGGGGGCAGAGCUUGCCCCAGGGCUACCCCCACAAUUCCUGUCACAGUAGUGGUGGCACCACUGUGAGCUCAUUUCUUCCUCACAGUACCACCUGGGGGGGUGGGAACCAUAGCUGUCUCCAUUUUCCUGAAGAGUAGAUUGAGAUGUGAGCAUGAUGGGACAGAGAAAAGGGGCCAGGACCAGAAGAUCUGUGGGGUGGGUGAGGGAUAUGCUGCCAAGAAUCAGGCGCAUUCACUCAGUGGAACCCAGAAGCCAGAAAGAUGCUGGAGGAUGUGCUCCAGCAAAACAAGCAGGUAAACCAAGAAAGAGGAGGACCUGGGGUGCAGGAAGCAGGGGACCUAGCCCUACAGAGAGGCCAAGAGAAGCUCCAAGAAGGAAGAGGGAGCUCCUGCCACUCGCCUGCCAUUGUGGUGCAGAACGGGGCACAGGCAGAGGCCAGCGGCAGGAAGACUCAGAAGACUGGGCAAUGUGGGUAUUUAACAAAUGGAAGAAGUCCCUGUAUGGUAGGUGCCCUGGAGGCAGAAAUCCUGGGCCUGAGGAGCCAGUGGGAGCCCGUCUCUCUUCUGCGGUCACUCUUGUCAAAUUAUGUCAGCUGGAUUUGUUCAUAGAAUAUGGCUUCCAAAAGAAUAGCAGCCACAGGUGCUGGGCUGGAGGGAAGAGAUCAUGACCCGACUAAGUGGCGGUCCUCAGGCAGUUUGGAGAAGGGAAAGAUCUUUCAAGAAUGAAAGUGAAAUAAAGCCUGAGGGAGUUCAAUGCCAUCGAAUUGAAAGGAAUUCCGCAAAAUGUAUCUCAGGGAGAAGGAAAGUGAUCUCAGCUGAAGGCUUGAGGUGGAAGAAGGAAUGAAGGAGACAGAGAGCACUUGUGAGGGAAACUCACCCCUAGAAACUGGCAGCCCCAAGACAGGGAAGCACCUGUGGGCUUAGCAAAGCCUCCCACAGAAAGUGGCCUGUGAACCACACACGAUGGGUGAGCCGGAGACAACCAAUGGAGGAGUGCAGAUGUCCCAGCAGCUUCAGAGCCCAGGGCCUCAAGCAGCUGAGAUAGGCCAGUGGGGCUGUAGCCAGGACCUGCAUGGGCCAGUCACAGCAGGAACCCACGGGACCCCUGAGUGGUCUGUGCAGCACAGGGAGGGGGUUUGUUCCAGAUUCACUGAGGGAAGGAGAAGGUGAGCACGGAGGACACUGAGCUCCUCAGAGACAUCUGCCUCCCGUUUCCAGGGACACCUCUGGAAUAUUCAGAGUUUCAGGUUUUAACUACAUCCUGGAUCUCUUGAUUUGAGCUAGAAAUUCCCUGCGCCACUUGAGGAGACUCACUGUACUGACUCCACGACUCAGAAAGUAACAUUGGAGAAAAUUGCUUCCUAAUCCUGGAGGGAUUUUGCAAAAGCAAGAGCAUCCUGCGGUCUGUGCCCCGCUGCGCUUCCCUGGGCCGUGCUCAAGGAGGCCUCUGGAAAGUGCGCAUCCCUGAGCAGGCCCACCAUGACAGCUUCAGUUCUGUGACCACCUCCAAGGACAAACAGCUUUAUUUUACGAGUCACUUAUCCUUGGAGAGGCUCCUUGCAAAUGGAGACGGGAGCAUCCAAACACAGCCUGGAUUGCCUGACCUCAUGGGGCACAGGCAGGUAGCAAUGAGGGUGAGGCUCAGUCAUGGCCUCCUGCCUCUGGCAAAGAUAAACAAAGACGGUCACUACUUAAAGGGCAGGAUGGAGUUUAUUCCGCAAUAACUACUGCAAUAGGCAGGAGGGCCCAGCGUGAACUAAACUCAACUUGGCCAAAACAGAAGGCUGGAGAUUUUUUAAAGGCUGGAGUGUGCAGGGGAAGGGCCUGGGCCACAUGGGUUUGUUAAUUGGCACUUAUCCAAGGAGAAAGGACCUUCUCAUAUCUUCAUAGCAGGCAGUGGUCCAAGUUCGAGCAAGGCGCCUGCCUGCCCACUCACCCACCAAAGUUGAGCCCCCAACCUCUGAGGAGAGUGGGCGUUAGCUCCCUGGAUGUUUCCAUUUCAAAAGGCUCCCAGGUCCUUGAGAAGACAGCUCUGGGUGGUAGAAGGUUUGCAUCUCAAACAGCAGAGAAAGGACUUGCAACUACAAGCUUUCCCAAGUACCUGCUGUAAGAUGGGGUUCAGGGCCCAUCUCCCAUCACCAAGUUUUGGCUCGAACAAACAGUCAAUUCUCCUGACAGUGUUGAGCUUUCUCAGGCAGGAAGCUGAGGGGACUGGACUUGUCAUCCUCGGGAUGCAGCUGUGAGCUGUUGGAAAUUAUGCUCGUGUUUGUUCAAGUCUCUUAGUGUGAGGGGAGAGGAUGGGAG